AUUGAACGCUGGCGGCAUGCCUUACACAUGCAAGUCGAACGGCAGCACGGGAGCAAUCCUGGUGGCGAGUGGCGAACGGGUGAGUAAUAUAUCGGAACGUGCCCAGUCGGGGGGGAUAACGCCGCGAAAGCCGUGCUAAUACCGCAUACGAUCUACGGAAGAAAGCGGGGGCUCGCAAGACCUCGCCCGAUCGGAGCGGCCGAUAUCAGAUGAGCUAGUUGGUGAGGUAAAGGCUCACCAAGGGGGCGAUCUGUAGCUGGUCUGAGAGGACGAACAGCCACACUGGAACGGAGACACGGUCCAGACUCAUACGGGAGGCAGCAGUGGGGAAUUUUGGACAAUGGGCGAAAGCCUGAUCCAGCAAUGCCGCGUGCAGGAUGAAGGCCUUCGGGUUGUAAACUGCUUUUGUACGGAACGAAACGGUGAGCUCUAAUACAGUUUGCUAAUGACGGUACCGUAAGAAUAAGCACCGGUUAACUACGUGCCAGCCGCCGCCGUAA
rnacentral:rRNA from 1 species